rnacentral:rRNA from 1 species
GAUGAACGCUGGCGGCGUGCUUAACACAUGCAAGUCGAACGGAAAGGCUCCUGCUUGCCGGGGUACUCGAGUGGCGAACGGGUGAGUAACACGUGGGUGAUCUGCCCUGCACUUCGGGAUAAGCCUGGGAAACUGGGUCUAAUACCGGAUAGGACCACAUUUUGGAUGGUGUGGUGGAAAGUUUUUCGGUGUGGGAUGAGCUCGCGGCCUAUCAGCUUGUUGGUGGGGUAAUGGCCUACCAAGGCGUCGACGGGUAGCCGGCCUGAGAGGGUGUACGGCCACAUUGGGACUGAGAUACGGCCCAGACUCCUACGGGAGGCAGCAGUGGGGAAUAUUGCACAAUGGGCGCAAGCCUGAUGCAGCGACGCCGCGUGGGGGAUGACGGCCUUCGGGCUGUAAACUCCUUUCGCUAGGGACGAAGCGCAAGUGACGGUACCUGGAGAAGAAGCACCGGCUAACUACGUG